rnacentral:pre_miRNA from 1 species
UCACCUCUGCAGGCAGCGGGCCCCAGGCUGGGCUGGGUGAGUGUCUCUUCGAAAGGCUCCCCCUCAAGUACGACCAGGAGC